rnacentral:lncRNA from 1 species
CCUCUUGUGGCGCCUUUUGGGUAGUGCCUUAGUAAACGUGAACGCUGCAAAGAAGUGGUAUCAGACUGGUUUGUAGUGGAGGAAUUUGUUGCCAGUUUCUUUCAUCUUUAAUCCGUAUUCAAGUUGUAAUGUGGUAACUUUUGUGGCACAAAUACCACAAUAUGGCAGAAAUACUAUGUUUUGGCACAAAUACUUUGAUUUGGUAUACUUUAGCUUCUUCACCCCUUUUCAGCAAAAUUUUCAUUUUUUUCACCCCUUUUCAGCACAAAUCCCAGCUUUUUCAGCAAAAACCUCUUUUCAGCAGAAUUCUGAAAAGAGUUCUGCAGAACUCUUUUCAGCAGAAAUUCUGCUGAUUGAACUCUUUUCAGCAGAAUUUUCACCUCUUUUCAGCCCAAAUUCUGCUUAUUCACCUCUUCUGCAAAAUUUUCAGCCUUUUCACCUGUUAUUACCACAAAUCUCAGCUGUUUUCAGAAAAAACCUCUUUUGAGCAGAAAUUCUGCUGAUUCAUCUCUUUUCAGCGCAACUUUCUGCUUCUUUACCUCUUUUCUGCAGAAAUUCUGCUGAUUCACCUCUUUUCUGCAAAAUUUUCCGCCACCAUGAGGACUUUGACGUCGUCCAUUUUGAUGUUGCGAGCAAACAGAAGCCGUUGAAUAGAUGGAAUGAAACGAGGGGUGAGGAGUCUUUUUCUGAUGCUCUGAUAAUUUUCAGCGUAAAAGUCAUCCUCCAAGACUUGCAGACACUCGUGCUGUCUCUGGCGGGGGUGAUCAAACUUACAGCCGUUGCAUUCAUCAGUGAGGUACUUGUUGAUUACUAGGUUGACUAGAUGAUACACAGCUGUUUUCACGGUAUCGAUAAAUAAAGAAUAUGCCCGACCAUCAAGCUCGACGGCUUGCUGCUGCUGCUUCUCCAAGGGGCGAUAGUAACCAGGUGUGUCAGGUACUAAUGAGCCCUCGUUCGAGGAACUGUCCUCCUCCUCAGUGUGGCGCAGGGGUGCAGACUCCAUCCUUCUCUCUGUUUUGAGCUAAGAAAGGUUUUGUAGGAAUGAGACGGCGGUCUUGUUUUAAAAUAACAGAAGGUGGGGCGUGAUCUGGAAGUGGGAUGAUCUUAAUGGGCGGGUAGGAUAUGAAGCGUUUGAAAUGCAAUACGUGUCCUUAUCAGCUGGAAAUAUUAAUGCCAGAACUUACAACACGAUACUUUUUACUUCAUGUACAGGGUUUCCAAAACAAGUUUUAUUUCAAGUAAACAAACUAAUACAUUUGAUUCAGGUAAAACAGAUCAUCACAUUUAUUCUUGUAAAGGGUUUUCUACAAAGUUUUAUUUCAUGUAAAGCGUUUCCAAGGCUGUUAGCCGAGUUGCCCUGUAUUGAACUUAUUUACAGUGUGUCAGUAAAGGGUGACAUGCACUUCUGGCCCCUGUGUUGAAUGAGCCCAUGUUGGGCUUGUGAAUUUGACACCGUAAGGUUUUGAAGUUGGGGAUACAUGCUCCAGGUGAGCAUAAGAUGUCUGAUAUCAGCUUGACAUCUCAGUUAUAAAUGGAAUUCAAAAUGUUUUUGGAAGUAUGACUAAUGUAUAAUCUGACUUCUAAGGUACGCAUGCCAAGGCCUAGAAGACAAGGGGACAGUUUACGUCGUGCUAUAAAAACACAAACCUUAAUCUUUGAUCUUCCAACUUUAUCUUUGUGUUCUGGUUUUAGAGUCUCUGUUUAUUGAGACGCACUUUGGGAAUCACCCUGUUGUGAGACAAGGGUACGCUGGGCAGGCAUAUGGCAUUAUACAAGCAGAGUGUUUUGGCUGUAUCACUAGAUCUAAGAAAUACACCUGUUAUUGGUUAUUAAAAAGAGUUAGCUGUGGUGCAGGUUUAAUUUAUAAUUUUUGCAUGAACUGUUAAAAAAUUACAGACAGCUUUAUACCGAUAGUGCAGGCAUUUUUUACUUAAAUGGUAAAUGGUAAAUGGCCUGUACUUGUAUAGCGCUUUACUUAGUCCCUAAGGACCCCAAAGCACUUUACACUACAUUCAGUCAUCCACCCAUUCACACACACAUUCACACACUGGUGAUGGCAAGCUACAUUGUAGCCACAGCUGCCCUGGGGCGCACUGACAGAGGCGACUUAAGUAGAAGUAUAGCUGCUAGUGUCAGAAAUACUCAAGUAAAAGUUUGAUAAUGUAUGGGCUCAGAAAUGUGCUCAAAGUAAGAAAGUCAAAGUAGUAACCUAGCUGAAUAUUGUCCUGUAAUAAAAUAAUAUUAGUAGGUGAGACGAGACUACAAACUUAGUCUGGUGGUGAAAAGGCACAAGAGGCUCAGAGGCACAUUUGGCAGCCAUGGUUAGAGCUCAGAGACCCUGAGCAUGGUGGUGAAAGAGUCUAACAUCCAUGCAUUACAUGGUGUUGCGCCUGAUAAAAAACAAAACAAACAAACAAACAAGCAAAAAACCUAUAAACUAACCCCCUUCUUUAGAG